GACGAACGCUGGCGGCGUGCUUAACACAUGCAAGUCGAACGGAAAGGCACUGCUUUUGUGGGGUGCUCGAGUGGCGAGCGGGUGAGUAACACGUGAGUAACCUGCCCUUGUCUUUGGGAUAACUUCAGGAAACUGGGGCUAAUACCGGAUAGGAGCUCCUGCUGCAUGGUGUGGGUUGGAAAGUUUCGGCGGUUGGGGCUGGACUCGCGGCUUAUCAGCUUGCUGGUGGGGUAGUGGCUGACCAAGGCUUUGACGGGUAGCCGGCCUGGGAGGGGGACCGGGCACAAUGGGACUGAGAGACGGACCAGACGCCAACGGGAGGCAGCAGUGGGGAAUAUUGCAGAAUGGGCGGAAGCCAGAUGCGGCAACGCCGCGUGCGGGAUGACGGCCUUCGGGUUGUAAACCGCUUUCGCCUGUGACGAAGCGUGAGUGACGGUAAUGGGUAAAGAAGCACCGGCUAACUACGUG
rnacentral:rRNA from 1 species